rnacentral:rRNA from 1 species
UAUGACGGUACCCUUUCGAAUAAGAGGUUGCUAACUCUGUGCCAGCAGCAGCGGUAAUACAGAGACCUCGAGCGUUAUCCGGAUUUACUGGGCGUAAAGCGUCUGUAGGGGUUUUGUUAAGUUCCAAGUAAAAUCUUAAGGCUCAACUUUAAGUUCGCUUGGAAAACUAAUAAACUGGAGUCCAGCAGAGGUGCAUGGAACUUGCGGUGUAGGAGUGAAAUCCGUUGAUAUCGCAAGGAACACCAAAGGCGAAGGCAUUGCACUGGGCUGGUACUGACCCUGAGAGACGAAAGCGUGGGGAGCAAAACGGAUUAGAUACCCGUGUAGUCCACGCCGUAAACGAUGGAUACUAGAUGUUCGGGGAUUCGACCCCCUGGGUGUCACAGCUAACGCGUUAAGUAUCCCGCCUGGGAAGUACGGCCGCAAGGCUAAAACUCAAAGGAAUAGACGGGGAUCCGCACAAGCGGUGGAGCGUCUGGUUUAAUUUGAUAGUAAGCAAUGGACCUCACCAAGGUUUGACAUCCUAUGACAACCCUGGAAACAGGGCUUCCUUCGGGCAUAGUGACAGGUGCUGCAUGGUCGUCGUCAGUUCGUGCCGUGAGGUGUUCCGUUAAGUCGGGAAACGAACGAAACCCUCGUCGCAUGUUACAAAUUUCAUGCGAGACUGCCCGGGUCAACCGGGAGGAAGGCGGGGAUGACGUCAGAUCAGCAUGGCCCUUAUACCUUGGGCUACACAGGCGCUACAAUGGCCGGUACAAAGGGUUGCAAAACCGCGAGGUGAAGCUAAUCCCAUAAAGCCGGUCCAAGUUCGGAUUGGAGGCUGCAACUCGCCUCCAUGAAGUUGGAAUCGCUACUACUCCCGGAUCAGCCAUACCACGGUGAAUACGUUCCCGGAUCUUGUACUCACCGCCCGUCACACCAAGAGAGUUGGUAGCUCAUGAAG